CUACGGGGGGCUGCAGGCGAGAAAACUUUGCAAUGUGCGAAAGCACGACAAGGUUAAUCCGAGUGGUUUCUGCUAAAGGAACCUUUUGACAGUCCUAGAAACACUGUUGAAUAAGGGGUGGGCAAGUUCUGGUGUCAGCCGCCGCGGUAAAACCAGCACCUCAAGUGGUCAGGAUGAUUAUUGGGCCUAAAGCAUCCGUAGCCGGCUCUGUAAGUUUUCGGUUAAAUCUGUACGCUCAACGUACAGGCUGCCGGGAAUACUGCAGAGCUAGGGAGUGGGAGAGGUAGACGGUACUCGGUAGGAAGGGGUAAAAUCCUUUGAUCUAUUGAUGACCACCUGUGGCGAAGGCGGUCUACCAGAACACGUCCGACGGUGAGGGAUGAAAGCCGGGGGAGCAAACCGGAUUAGAUACCCUAGUAGUC
rnacentral:rRNA from 1 species